AAGGUAGCAUAAUCAUUAGUCUUUUAAUUGAAGGCUGGUAUGAAUGGUUUGACGAAACACUAACUGUCUCUUUAUGAUAAGUAGAAUUUAACUUUUGAGUCAAAAGGCUUAAAUUGUUAUAAAAGACGAGAAGACCCUAUAGAUCUUUAUAUAAGGAUAUUUCGAUUUUGUUUAGAAGUAUUAUUAAUGGUAAUAUUAUUAUAUUUUGUUGGGGUGACAUGAAGAUACAAUUAACUCUUUAUAUUUAUUACAUUGAUUUAUGGAUGAUUGAUCCGUUAUUAACGAUUGUAAGAUAAAGUUACCUUAGGGAUAACAGCGUAAUUUUUUUUGAGAGUUCUUAUCGACAAAAAAGAUUGCGACCUCGA
rnacentral:rRNA from 1 species